UGCAAACUGCGAAUACCGGAGAAUGUUAUCACGGGAGACACACGGCGGGUGCUAACGUCCGUCGUGAAGAGGGAAACAACCCAGACCGCCAGCUAAGGUCCCAAAGUCAUGGUUAAGUGGGAAACGAUGUGGGAAGGCCCAGACAGCCAGGAUGUUGGCUUAGAAGCAGCCAUCAUUUAAAGAAAGCGUAAUAGCUCACUGGUCGAGUCGGCCUGCGCGGAAGAUGUAACGGGGCUAAACCAUGCACCGAAGCUGCGGCAGCGACGCUUAUGCGUUGUUGGGUAGGGGAGCGUUCUGUAAGCCUGUGAAGGUGUGCUGUGAGGCAUGCUGGAGGUAUCAGAAGUGCGAAUGCUGACAUAAGUAACGAUAAAGCGGGUGAAAAGCCCGCUCGCCGGAAGACCAAGGGUUCCUGUCCAACGUUAAUCGGGGCAGGGUGAGUCGACCCCUAAGGCGAGGCCGAAAGGCGUAGUCGAUGGGAAACAGGUUAAUAUUCCUGUACUUGGUGUUACUGCGAAGGGGGGACGGAGAAGGCUAUGUUGGCCGGGCGACGGUUGUCCCGGUUUAAGCGUGUAGGCUGGUUUUCCAGGCAAAUCCGGAAAAUCAAGGCUGAGGCGUGAUGACGAGGCACUACGGUGCUGAAGCAACAAAUGCCCUGCUUCCAGGAAAAGCCUCUAAGCAUCAGGUAACAUCAAAUCGUACCCCAAACCGACACAGGUGGUCAGGUAGAGAAUACCAAGGCGCUUGAGAGAACUCGGGUGAAGGAACUAGGCAAAAUGGUGCCGUAACUUCGGGAGAAGGCACGCUGAUAUGUAGGUGAAGCGACUUGCUCGUGGAGCUGAAAUCAGUCGAAGAUACCAGCUGGCUGCAACUGUUUAUUAAAAACACAGCACUGUGCAAACACGAAAGUGGACGUAUACGGUGUGACGCCUGCCCGGUGCCGGAAGGUUAAUUGAUGGGGUCAGCGCAAGCGAAGCUCUUGAUCGAAGCCCCGGUAAACGGCGGCCGUAACUAUAACGGUCCUAAGGUAGCGAAAUUCCUUGUCGGGUAAGUUCCGACCUGCACGAAUGGCGUAAUGAUGGCCAGGCUGUCUCCACCCGAGACUCAGUGAAAUUGAACUCGCUGUGAAGAUGCAGUGUACCCGCGGCAAGACGGAAAGACCCCGUGAACCUUUACUAUAGCUUGACACUGAACAUUGAGCCUUGAUGUGUAGGAUAGGUGGGAGGCUUAGAAGUGUGGACGCCAGUCUGCAUGGAGCCGACCUUGAAAUACCACCCUUUAAUGUUUGAUGUUCUAACGUUGACCCGUAAUCCGGGUUGCGGACAGUGUCUGGUGGGUAGUUUGACUGGGGCGGUCUCCUCCUAAAGAGUAACGGAGGAGCACGAAGGUUGGCUAAUCCUGGUCGGACAUCAGGAGGUUAGUGCAAUGGCAUAAGCCAGCUUGACUGCGAGCGUGACGGCGCGAGCAGGUGCGAAAGCAGGUCAUAGUGAUCCGGUGGUUCUGAAUGGAAGGGCCAUCGCUCAACGGAUAAAAGGUACUCCGGGGAUAACAGGCUGAUACCGCCCAAGAGUUCAUAUCGACGGCGGUGUUUGGCACCUCGAUGUCGGCUCAUCACAUCCUGGGGCUGAAGUAGGUCCCAAGGGUAUGGCUGUUCGCCAUUUAAAGUGGUACGCGAGCUGGGUUUAGAACGUCGUGAGACAGUUCGGUCCCUAUCUGCCGUGGGCGCUGGAGAACUGAGGGGGGCUGCUCCUAGUACGAGAGGACCGGAGUGGACGCAUCACUGGUGUUCGGGUUGUCAUGCCAAUGGCACUGCCCGGUAGCUAAAUGCGGAAGAGAUAAGUGCUGAAAGCAUCUAAGCACGAAACUUGCCCCGAGAUGAGUUCUCCCUGACUCCUUGAGAGUCCUGAAGGAACGUUGAAGACGACGACGUUGAUAGGCCGGGUGUGUAAGCGCAGCGAUGCGUUGAGCUAACCGGUACUAAUGAACCGUGAGG
rnacentral:rRNA from 1 species